rnacentral:rRNA from 1 species
GAUGAACGCUGGCGGCGUGCCUAAUACAUGCAAGUCGAGCGAACAGACGAGGAGCUUGCUCCUCUGACGUUAGCGGCGGACGGGUGAGUAACACGUGGAUAACCUACCUAUAAGACUGGGAUAACUUCGGGAAACCGGAGCUAAUACCGGAUAAUAUAUUGAACCGCAUGGUUCAAUAGUGAAAGACGGUUUUGCUGUCACUUAUAGAUGGAUCCGCGCCGCAUUAGCUAGUUGGUAAGGUAACGGCUUACCAAGGCAACGAUGCGUAGCCGACCUGAGAGGCGGAUGGGCAACCCGGAAAUGAGACCACGGACCAACCUCCAAGGGAGGAAACAAAGGGGAAACCUCCGGAAAGGGGGAAAAGCGAAAGGGAGCAACGCGGGUGGAGUAAUAAGGGUUUUGGAACCUAAAACUUUUUUAUUAGGAAAAAAAAAAAUUGUAAAGUAACUGGGCGCUUUUGGCGGGACCCUAAUAAGAAGACCCGGACAAACACCGGC